UUUUAGAUUAGUAUUAAAUAUAUUUAUGAAAUUAAAAUAAUUUGGCGGUAUUUUAGUCUAUUCAGAGGAAUUUGUUUUAUAAUCGAUAAUCCUCGUUAAAUCUUACUUAUUUUAUUUAAUUUGUAUAUCGUUGUCAUUAGAAUAUUUUAUAAGAAUAAUAAUUUUCUUAAAUUAUUUAAAAUUUUAUGUCAAAUCAAGGUGCAGUUUAUAUUUAAGUAAAAAUGAAUUACAUUAAUAUAUAAUUAAAUGAAUUAAAAAUUGAAAAAUUUUUAUGAAGGUGGAUUUGAUAGUAAAUUUAUGAAUUAUAAUAAAUUGAUUAUAGCUCUAAAAUAUGUAC
rnacentral:rRNA from 1 species